ACAUCCAGAGAACUUAGCAGAGAUGCUUUGGUGCCUUCGGGAACUCUGAGACAGGUGCUGCAUGGCUGUCGUCAGCUCGUGUUGUGAAAUGUUGGGUUAAGUCCCGNAACGAGCGCAACCCUUAUCCUUUGUUGCCAGCGAUUCGGUCGGGAACUCAAAGGAGACUGCCGGUGAUAAACCGGAGGAAGGUGGGGAUGACGUCAAGUCAUCAUGGCCCUUACGAGUAGGGCUACACACGUGCUACAAUGGCGCAUACAAAGAGAAGCGACCUCGCGAGAGCAAGCGGACCUCACAAAGUGCGUCGUAGUCCGGAUCGGAGUCUGCAACUCGACUCCGUGAAGUCGGAAUCGCUAGUAAUCGUGGAUCAGAAUGCCACGGUGAAUACGUUCCCGGGCCUUGUACACACCGCCCGUCACACCAUGGGAGUGGGUUGCAAAAGAAGUAGGUAGCUUAACCUUCGGGAGGGCGCUUACCACUUUGUGAUUCAUGACUGGGGUGAAGUCGUAACAAGGUAGGCGUAGUGCU
rnacentral:rRNA from 1 species